rnacentral:rRNA from 1 species
AUACAGAGGUCCCGAGCGUUGUUCGGAUUCACUGGGCGUAAAGGGUGCGCAGGUGGGUUUGCAAGUUUGAUGUGAAAGCCCCGGGCUUAACCCGGGAAUGGCAUUGAAUACUGCAGAUCUGGAGGAUUGGAGGGGGGACUGGAAUUCUUGGUGUAGCAGUGAAAUGCGUAGAUAUCAAGAGGAACACCAGUGGCGAAGGCGAGUCCCUGGACAAUACCUGACACUGAGGCACGAAAGCCAAGGGAGCAAACA